rnacentral:misc_RNA from 1 species
ACACCUCAACUCUCAUGGUUUGCCAUGAUGAGCUUGGACUUUGGGGGUUUUGCUGGCCCUGUGCCAGCUCCCCUCAAACAAAUCAGCUUGCCAGUGUAUGGCGGCGCCAUGGGUGUGAUAACUAUCUACGCUCGCGGUCGUCUGUCAGGUAACCUUUGGCAGCAGAGGUUCGCUGGAGCUCAUAAACGUCUCUCCUCAGCGAAGACAGCUUUUCGAAC